UAUGCUAAGUCUCAGCCCUUAUAUAUUGUCUCUAGCCUAAAUUCUUUCACUACGCCAGAAGCGGCAAAUGGCAGCAGCCAUAUACCAGUAGUUUUCAUAAAUGCCGUUAAAAUACUAGAUUGUGGCAGUCUUAAUGACGGUUUGAGAUGGGGCUGCUAAAUCAAACAAUUUAACUGUGGUUCAAACGCAAAACACCACACACACAAAAUCCCCAAUUGGAAUUAAAAAAGAAACCUCUCCCUCGGUGAUUCAAGAAAAACACAAAACCUCCACAUUCAGCGGUCUCUGUCCCUAUCCUUAUCCGUAUCCAUAUCCCUGUCCCUUUCAUACUCGUCGUCGCGGUCGCGGCAGUUGUAGUCAGCGGAGGGUUUGGAAUUGGCAACGGAAUCAGAGGAAGGUCGAUUACGAGAAAGGAGCUACUCUUGGCGGCGCUUCUGUUGUUCCAAUUUUAUCUUUUGUCUUCGUAGGCUCUCCUCAAUCAAUUUAAAAGUCAGAGACAUAAUGCGGAGAGGGGCUGAUUUUGAAUCCCCAAACUGUUGUACCAUCCAAAGAGUUUAGGUGAAGCCCAACAAAUUGAUGAAGCAUUUCAGCUACUUGAAUCAUUGGAAAAUGGUAAUGCCUUAGGAAGUCCAGAGUCGUCAACUCCAUUGAUUUUGGGUUUGCUAAAUGCCUUAAUUCAAGCAGGGUUUUGGAGAGGCAAAGGAUCUGGCUUCAGAACUCCUUACAAUGCAAUAAUUGAUGCUUUACUAAAAUAUGGCUCAGUUAAGGGUGACAACUGCUCUUGCAGUAUAUGCUAAUUGGAGCUUUGAAGGAAUCAAGGGAAGGGGAUGGGAUUGGGCUGGUGUAAUCUAUCUAUUGUUUAUUUAGUGUUUCUUUAUGUUAAUAUCUCAAGUUUAAUAAAUAUGAUGUAAAGAAAAUAUGUUAUAGUAAAAAGAAAUGGUAUAAACCAUUUGAGUAGUUAAUUAACUUUUUUUAAAGCUCUUGUAUGAACUUGCGGCGGUUUAAAAUUGUCGCACUUUUUCAAAAAAAUCCACAUAAAUUUGCGGCAGUUUCAAAAUCGUCGCAGAUUUUUUUUAAUUCACUACCAAAAUAGCGACGGUUUUGUAACCGUCGCAAAAUCAAUUAUUUGAUUUGCGGCGGUUGUGCCAGCGGUUAGUUAGAACCACUGCAAAAUCAUAUUACCACCCCCUAAUAGGCGACGCUUAACGAACCGUUAGUGUAACACCCCAACUUUCGACACAUCAUGACCAAUGCCAAAUGUUCAGAUGUUACUCAUCGUGCGGCCUACUUAGCUCUAGACUCAGAUUUUUAUAAAUUAAUAUCAAUAAAAGCCUUUGUCGGUUUAAUCGUGAACAGAUUACUACUCGUGGAAUAGCG